rnacentral:rRNA from 1 species
UACAGAGGGUGCGAGCGUUAAUCGGAAUUACUGGGCGUAAAGGGUGCGUAGGUGGUUUAGUAAGUUAGAUGUGAAAUUCCUGGGCUUAACCUGGGGACUGCGUCUGAUACUGCGAAGCUAGAGUACUGUAGAGGAAAGUGGAAUUUCCGGUGUAGCAGUGAAAUGCGUAGAUAUCGGAAGGAACAUCAGUGGCGAAGGCGACUUUCUGGACAGUGACUGACGCUGAGACGCGAAAGCGUGGGGAGCAAACAGG